GCUGCAGGCUAUGAGCACUCCAGGUAAUGAUAUAAACGUGUCUUUCAUACUUCCAUAUUUUCAACUUUUAACAGCACUGUGACAUGUCACCUUUUGAUCUCUGUGCUGCCACACAGGCUUCCCUCCCUGCCCCUUGAAAAGCUUUUUCUAACUGCAGCUGAGACCUUGGCUCCAACAACAAGCAUGAGACCUGUAAGGUUUCUCCUGCUUUGUGAGAUGAGACAAUGCUAUAAGAGAGCACAUAAGGGAUACUGCCUUGG